GGCAUACGAUGAAGUGGGAGAUUGCUAUCCUGUACCUGAAUUCAGGGACGUAAGAGAUAGGUAACUUUCACGGAGAAUGUCCGAUUCAAGAAACCGGGCGACAA
rfam:[Clostridium] hungatei strain DSM 14427 CLHTN_contig000022, whole genome shotgun sequence.